rnacentral:rRNA from 1 species
GAGGUCUUCGGGGCUUGAGACCGGCGCACGGGUGCGUAACGCGUAUGCAAUCUGCCUUCCACAGAGGGAUAGCCCAGAGAAAUUUGGAUUAAUACCUCAUAGCAUCAUGACCCGGCAUCGGGAUAUGAUUAAAGUCACAACGGUGGAAGAUGAGCAUGCGUCCCAUUAGCUAGUUGGUAAGGUAACGGCUUACCAAGGCUACGAUGGGUAGGGGUCCUGAGAGGGAGAUCCCCCACACUGGUACUGAGACACGGACCAGACUCCUACGGGAGGCAGCAGUGAGGAAUAUUGGUCAAUGGGCGCAAGCCUGAACCAGCCAUGCCGCGUGCAGGAUGACGGUCCUAUGGAUUGUAAACUGCUUUUGUACGGGAAGAAACCCUCCUACGUGUAGGAGCUUGACGGUACCGUAAGAAUAAGGAUCGGCUAACUCCGUGCCAGCAGCCGCGGUAAUACGGAGGAUCCAAGCGUUAUCCGGAAUCAUUGGGUUUAAAGGGUCUGUAGGCGGUCUUGUAAGUCAGUGGUGAAAGCCCAUCGCUCAACGGUGGAACGGCCAUUGAUACUGCUGGACUUGAAUUAUUGGGAAGCAACUAGAAUAUGUAGUGUAGCGGUGAAAUGCUUAGAGAUUACAUGGAAUACCAAUUGCGAAGGCAGGUUGCUACCAAUGGAUUGACGCUGAUGGACGAAAGCGUGGGUAGCGAACAGGAUUAGAUACCCUGGUAGUCCACGCCGUAAACGAUGGAUACUAGCUGUUGGGCGCAAGUUCAGUGGCUAAGCGAAAGUGAUAAGUAUCCCACCUGGGGAGUACGAACGCAAGUUUGAAACUCAAAGGAAUUGACGGGGGCCCGCACAAGCGGUGGAGCAUGUGGUUUAAUUCGAUGAUACGCGAGGAACCUUACCAAGGCUUAAAUGCAGACUGACCGGUUUGGAAACAGACCUUUCGCAAGACGGUCUACAA